AUUGAACGCUGGCGGCAGGCUUAACACAUGCAAGUCGAGCGGGGUGAUGGUGCUUGCACUAUCACUUAGCGGCGGACGGGUGAGUAAUGCUUAGGAAUCUGCCUAUUAGUGGGGGACAACACCUCGAAAGGGAUGCUAAUACCGCAUACGUCCUAUGGCAGAAAGCAGGGGAUCACUUGUGACCUUGCGCUAAUAGAUGAGCCUAAGUCGGAUUAGCUAGUUGGUGGGGUAAAGGCCUACCAAGGCGACGAUCUGUAGCGGGUCUGAGAGGAGGAACCGCCACACUGGGACUGAGACACGGCCCAGACUCCUACGGGAGGCAGCAGUGGGGAAUAUUGGACAAUGGGGGGAACCCUGAUCUAGCCAUGCCGCGUGUGUGAAGAAGGCCUUAUGGUUGUAAAGCACUUUAAGCGAGGAGGAGGCUCUUUUGGUUAAUACCCAAGAUGAGUGGACGUUACUCGCAGAAUAAGCACCGGCUAACUCUGUGCCAGCCGCCGCCGUAA
rnacentral:rRNA from 1 species